UGCUAUCAUCCUUCCCAAAUCACCUUCCUCAAAUUCACUGGCUGCAAAUUAACAUUCCAAAUCACCAGAAUUCUCACCUUCCUCAAGAGGUCUGUUCCAUUCUCACCUAAAUUCUCACCUUCCUCAAAUUAAAUCACCAGCAAACCUCAAAUCACCGUCCCAAAUCCCUCGUUCGCAAAUCACCAGCAAACAUUCCUCAAAUCUCAUUGUUGUUGGUGAUUUACUUUCAUCUCAUCUGCAUUUAAGUUUAUCAAACCCAUGUCCUAAACUCUCAAAUCCCCAAAUCUAUUUGUUAACAAAAAAUCCUCAAAUCUUGAUUGCUAACCCAAAACUCCCAAAUCCCCAAAGUCCCAAACUCCAUUUGUUUCACUCGAAGGAUCUGAAGAACAGAGGAAUAAUUUUGAAGGCAGCAAUUACAGUGUAGAAAAUAUUUUAAAUCGCGAGAAAGUUUAGACUCAAAAGGCAAUCAGCGAGAAAUCAACUUCAGGAUAUCUAUGGAUAAUGGUGAUAAAAGUUGGAUGAAUCUCCUGAGAUGGACGGAUGAGUAUAUCCGUGGAGUGAAUGAUUUUCUUGAUAAGGCAUUUGAACGAGCCGCCCAAGGAAAUGAAAUAUUAUGCCCUUGCAAAAAGUGCAUGAAUCGCUAUUGGUAUUAUAGAAAUGUGGUGGAGGAUCAUUUGGUUGUUCAUGGAUUUGUUGAUGGUUAUACCAAAUGGGUUUUCCAUGGGGAAGGAUUUUCCUCGAGAAAUACACCUCAUUCAAGCAAUGAUGAUGAAGGUUCUACCAUGCGUGACGAUAUUGAUGGACUACUUCAUGAUACAUUUAGCAAUGAUGAUGAAGGUUCUACCAUGCGUGAUGAUAUUUCUCAUUUCUUACACUAACCCAGUUGCACUAAAUUUGUAGGAAAAAUAUGACAUUCCUGACGAAGCGAAACAAUGGGUUUUUGAAUUAGUUUGUAGUGCUUGGAGAAAGUAUAAGAGUCAAUUGAAGAUAACUCAAUUCACAGCUUAUGAGAAUGAUGAGCUUCGAAUGGAGAAUAGGCUAGUAGAUAUUCGGGAAUCUCACUUUAAGGAUCUUCUUAAAUAUUGAAACUCCGAUCCUCACAAGAAAAUGUCCGAAACCAAUGCAGAGAAUUGAAAUAAGUUGAAGUGUCCGCACACUGCUGGCAGAACACCUUUUGCUCUAAUUCGCGAGGAAAAAAAUAAGGAAAUCUCUGAUACUUCAGAUACUCUAUCAAGCUGAAAUGGAGAGAAUACAAUCAACUCAGGAAAGUGAAGAUGGCAGUCAUUCAGUUGACGUUUUUGCUUCAGUCAUGGGACCUAGACAUCCAGGUCGCGUGAGAUUAUGGACGAGGGGUUACCAAGACUUUGUUAAAAGGGCAAAAAGGGAAUCUUGGAUCUUCAUUAGAUGCUGAUGAGAGAAUGCAGCAGAAAAUAGAGGAAAUGGAAGAGAGGAUGCAACAAAGAAUGCAUGAAAAGUUGAACGAACAAAAGGAUGUCAUGGAACAAAAUAUUACAAUGAACGUCAUUGCACGACUUCAGCGUCUGAACUCAGAUUUGCGACUUGAUCCUGACAUGCUAAGGUUCAAUUCACGUUCACUUAUAGAUGCUUCCUCUGUACAACAAGCUGCUAUUCAACUAAACAAUCGACCAUCUGCUGGUAGUAACAAUCAAGUUCUCUUGGUUGUAUGACAGGUUCUUACAUUUCUUUUGUCGAAUAUUGCUGCAAAAUAAGACUUAGGUUCUAAGGUUUUGUUUCCUUCAUACUAGACAACUCUAUUCGUGAGUCCAACGACGACAUCAACAAUUUCUGGGAUUAUGUCAUAGCUAUAAUAAAAGAAGCAGUAUGUUGUAUCUCUUCACUUUGUUUGGCAGAGGAUUCGGAUGAGGAUAUGUCUGAUUGCAUUUAUUUCAUCCCUGUAGAUCUGCUAAAGAGCAGUAAACCUUAUGUUGAAGCCUUGAAAGCUUUACCCUCAGUGCUAAGCUUCAGUUGGGAAUUGGAUGCCUUUGUAAAGGACUUUGUUUGUUAGGCAUGGAAUUGGCAGAUUUGAUUAUUUAGUGUUGUUGUCUUUUGCUUAAUGCUUAGGCUCUUAGCACUUAGUAGUACAUGACACAUGAAUAUGUAUUAAUAGUUGUGUAUAGUUUGUUGAGAAGGGCUUUGCCAGAGACUCUGAAUGAUAAUGUUGUGUAUAGUUUGUUGAGAUGAAUAAGUUGGAUUAAUAAAAGAAGAACGAAAACAGUUAAAUGCUUGA